GACGAACCGUCCAAACGUUAUUCGGAAUUACUGGGCUUAAAGGGUUCGUAGGCGGCCGCGUAAGUGAGGUGUGAAAUCCCUCGGCUCAACCGAGGAACUGCGCUUCAUACUGCACGGCUUGAGGGAGACAGAGGUAAGCGGAACUGAUGGUGGAGCGGUGAAAUGCGUUGAUAUCAUCAGGAACACCGGUGGCGAAAGCGGCUUACUGGGUCUCUUCUGACGCUGAGGAACGAAAGCUAGGGGAGCGAACGGG
rnacentral:rRNA from 1 species